rnacentral:rRNA from 2 species
AGGACGAACGCUGGCGGCGUGCCUAAUACAUGCAAGUCGAGCGAACAGAAGGGAGCUUGCUCCCGGAUGUUAGCGGCGGACGGGUGAGUAACACGUGGGUAACCUGCCUGUAAGACUGGGAUAACUCCGGGAAACCGGAGCUAAUACCGGAUAGUUCCUUGAACCGCAUGGUUCAAGGAUGAAAGACGGUUUCGGCUGUCACUUACAGAUGGACCCGCGGCGCAUUAGCUAGUUGGUGGGGUAAUGGCUCACCAAGGCGACGAUGCGUAGCCGACCUGAGAGGGUGAUCGGCCACACUGGGACUGAGACACGGCCCAGACUCCUACGGGAGGCAGCAGUAGGGAAUCUUCCGCAAUGGACGAAAGUCUGACGGAGCAACGCCGCGUGAGUGAUGAAGGUUUUCGGAUCGUAAAGCUCUGUUGUUAGGGAAGAACAAGUGCGAGAGUAACUGCUCGCACCUUGACGGUACCUAACCAGAAAGCCACGGCUAACUACGUGCCAGCAGCCGCGGUAAUACGUAGGUGGCAAGCGUUGUCCGGAAUUAUUGGGCGUAAAGGGCUCGCAGGCGGUUUCUUAAGUCUGAUGUGAAAGCCCCCGGCUCAACCGGGGAGGGUCAUUGGAAACUGGGAAACUUGAGUGCAGAAGAGGAGAGUGGAAUUCCACGUGUAGCGGUGAAAUGCGUAGAGAUGUGGAGGAACACCAGUGGCGAAGGCGACUCUCUGGUCUGUAACUGACGCUGAGGAGCGAAAGCGUGGGGAGCGAACAGGAUUAGAUACCCUGGUAGUCCACGCCGUAAACGAUGA